CCAGUUAACCUGAUCACCAGGUAAACUGGAACACUGGAGCUUUCUGCUCAUAUUACGGAGUUUGUUUGCAUGAUUCUGUACUAUAGAUCGUCGGUGAGAUAGUCUGUGAAAGGACAUGUAAUGAGACCGCUGGGUAAGCGACAGGUAAUUUCUACCCUAAGUUAAGUUCUGUUACUUAUCCUGUCAUUCAUUAGCUGAGUGAGUGGCUAAGCUAAUUAGUGUUACAAGCGGACUGUGGCUACGGAUCUUCUCCUGGAUUGUUUCCGACCUGGAGACGGCGAGAAGGACACCAGAUAGCGCUCUGAGUGACCGGAAAAGCUCAGAGUUCCUCUGGCAACGUGGGAAAAUAAGAAGAGCUCCGCUGGGGUUUGCCGUGUGUCGUCGAUCAUCUGCUUACGGGCUGAAGCUAAAGGGCAGACUCGUCUGAUGAAAAAUGUCAGACACGACUGCCUCCAGAACCCACUCAUCUGUGCCCCUGACCCUAUCAACCGUGACCCAGCCAGCGCAACCAAUUCCUCGCUUUCUAUGGGGUUUAUUUUGACUGUUACGACUUACAACUACUCUCCAUCUGGCUCCCUGUGUCAGAACAGGAGGAGAGUGGGGAAAAAAAAGUCACUUUCAGAUCCCUUCAGCUUCUAUUUCCCAAGAUUCCUGAGGGGGACUGAUUCAAUCGCUGCCUGCUGCUGAGUUUGACAGUGACAUCUAAAGAACAAAGAACUACAGACUCUUCACAACCUGCUCAAACUCUUGGUACAGGACCUCACCACACGGGUCAAGAAGGUUUCUGUCUCAUUUCUACUCUGAAGCUCACCUUCUCCUGCUCUAACUGCUGACAAAUGUUUCUGCUGCUCUAAAGUCUGGUCUCCAGAACUUCCUAAAAACUCUCAAAGUCUCUUCUGCUGCAGGUUGCUUUGUAGAACUGUUCCAGAAAACCUCACUAAACCACAUGGAGGGGCCUCAAGAUAGUCGUCCAAAUGAAACCAUACAAAAACCAAACUAGCACAACCCAAACGCUAAAGUCUCCUGCAGCCUACCAGAGAACCUCUGAGAACAGAGAAUCAGGACAUGAACUCUUACCUUCUGGACAACCAACGUUGGUUCUCAAACAAGAAUACAGAAUGUGUCUGACCAAAAACCUCUGAAGACUCACUACAGCCAAGAUAAAGACACAACUCAGCUGCACCAAAUCCACUAAUCACUGCACACAUUAGCACCAUGUGCCAACUGUGGCUAAAGAACCACAUUUACCAAGACAACUAUCCAGUACAAAGCCCUAAAACACACCAAGAAACACAUUAAAGACGAUUUUACUGCUGGAAGCUGCAAGCCAAUGCCUAAAAAACAAACUAAAGCAAUGGAGCCAAACCCAGUUCAAUGGUGAAGAGAAGCAGAGGAAAUGUUUGUCUGCAGCUAAAUAAAGCAGGAAGACACUGAGCUGCUCAGGUGUUCCUGAUAACACCAAGCAGCCACCUGGACAGCCAAUAGGAACACAGCCACCUGGACAGCCAAUAGGAACACAGCUUACUGGAAGUCCAGAGGGCUGGCUUAGUGAAGGAAAUUUAAUUUAAAGUUGAAGCAGAAAGUUAACAAAGAAAGUUGAAAACCACCUUCUGAUACCUGAAAUCUCUGAGUUUUCACUCAAAGAAUGCCUGAACAUGUCAAACUGGUUUCAUAGUAGAACCAUCAUUGUAAAAAUGUCAUAGUAUGGUGUGUUGCUCAAAAAACAUUAGGACCCGGCUGUCAGGGGACAAACAUGUAAGAAACAUGAGAACAGAGAGAACCCAACCAGUAGGUCACAGUUUAUCAUCCCCCAGUCAUCUCCUGAAGUCCAUAUGGUGAGAGACAUCAGUAUCUGGUUGUUCAUUUACCAGAGGAUGCUUAUAAUCAUGCUGAUGUGGUCUGUACUCUACAGUAUUUUAGUGACUCAAUAAAUGCCUAAGUUGUUUUUUUUUUAAUGCUUUUCAGUUUUUAAUAAACAUUUAAGAGCCUAUAUGUAAUCAAUAAAUGGCCUUUGCCUAUCUUAAGAAAAAUUCACUCAGAACUCUGAUAUGUUGACAGUACUAAAUAAAUCAAUAAAUACAUGCAUACACACAUAAAUAAGUUAAUACAUUAACUGUGUUAAGAUAAGAUUUAGAUUUUUUAAAAAGUUGUUUAUGUUUUUGCAGAAUCCAGUAUUGCUCACUGGUUGGUCAUUACAUUUUGUUAGUUUGAUUUCACUGUUUAAAAUGAUGCCACCUCUUUUCAGACAGAACCUGUGAUAAUAAAACAAUACAAAAUUUUUAGGUCCGUGUUAAUAAAGCACUUAAAGCGUUAAGUAUGGCUAAAUGCUUUUUUCAGAAUUAAAUAUAUCACUCCUUAGGUGGUAGUGGCCUCAAGUUCAGUAAAGUUGGAAAGAUAUUCACAGAUUCGGACUUCCAGCAUCAAUAACUCAUUAGAUAUAGGUUGUCAAAACAUAAACGGUGCCUCUUUCCCAUUGUUGCAAGGCAGACAAUGUGCUACAAGCCCAGUUUUAUCAAAAGUAGCUGUCUUUCAAGCUACAGGAAUAACAUUGGUGUCUAUGGAGUGAACAGGGUCCGUCUGCAAUUUACAAAACCACUGCAACAGUAAAGAGAGACAAAUAUUCAAUAACUUCAGUCUUAUACAUUGUAGUGUCACUAAAAUCACUGCAGCCUUCAACUGGCUCCUGUUGACAAAGUGUUUUAACAGAAAUGUAAAUGCUGUAAUUUGAUUCUUUUAAUGAACCAUGUAACUUGAAUGGAUGUGAUGCUGGUGUGACCACAGUGCACACGUCUGAUGUUGCUCACAGUUGUCCAAGGGACGCUCAGGGAGUUUGUGUGUUUGCUCAGACUCAUGAAAAAUUAGAGGGAACAUUGGAAGCAACUUUUGUAUUCAGAUGAACCACACAAACCUGCUGGACAAAGAACCCUAACAACACCACAAGU